UUGGUGGGGUAAAGGCUCACCAACGCGACGAUCCGUAGCUGGUCUGAGAGGAUGAUCAGCCACACUGGAACUGAAACACGGUCCAGACUCCUACGGGAGGCAGCAGUGGGGAAUUUUGGACAAUGGGGGCAACCCUGAUCCAGCCAUUCCGCGUGAGUGAAGAAGGCCUUCGGGUUGUAAAGCUCUUUCGGCAGGAACGAAACGGUGGGCUCUAGCAUAGUCUGCUAAUGACGGUACCUGAAGGAGAAGCACCGGCUAACUACGUGCCAGCAGCCGCGGUAAUACCUAAGGUGCGAGCGUUAAUCGGAAUUACUGGGCGUAAAGCGUGCGCAGGCGGUUUCGUAAGACAGAUGUGAAAUCCCCGGGCUUAACCUGGGAACUGCAGUCUGUGACUGACGAGGACUGGAAGUGUGGCAGAGGGGGAGUGGAAUACCACGUUGUAGCAGU
rnacentral:rRNA from 1 species